AGUCGAGCGGUAACAGGAAUUAGCUUGCUAAUUUGCUGACGAGCGGCGGACGGGUGAGUAACGCGUAGGAAUCUGCCUGGUAGUGGGGGACAACAUGUGGAAACGCAUGCUAAUACCGCAUACGCCCUACGGGGGAAAGGAGGGGAUCUUCGGACCUUUCGCUAUUAGAUGAGCCUGCGUGAGAUUAGCUAGUUGGUGAGGUAAAGGCUCACCAAGGCGACGAUCUCUAGCUGGUCUGAGAGGAUGAUCAGCCACACUGGGACUGAGACACGGCCCAGACUCCUACGGGAGGCAGCAGUGGGGAAUAUUGGACAAUGGGCGCAAGCCUGAUCCAGCCAUGCCGCGUGUGUGAAGAAGGCCUUAGGGUUGUAAAGCACUUUCAGGAGUGAGGAAGGGUGUACGGUUAAUACCCGUAUAUUUUGACGUUAGCUCCAGAAGAAGCACCGGCUAACUCUGUGCCAGCAGCCGCGGUAAUACAGAGGGUGCAAGCGUUAAUCGGAAUUACUGGGCGUAAAGC
rnacentral:rRNA from 1 species